UAGGAUUUCCUUAGUAGCGGCGAGCGAACAGGAAAAAGCCCAGCACUGAAUCCCGCGGCCGAAACCGGACGCCGGGAAAUGUGGUGUUAGGGAGGAUCCGUCAUCCCGAGAUUGUGCGACGCGUCCAAGUCCAUCUUGAACGGGGCCACAGCCCAUAGAGGGUGCCAGGCCCGUAGUGACCGUUGCCGAUAACGGGAGGAUCUCUCCUCAGAGUCGGGUUGCUUGAGAGUGCAGCCCUAAGUGGGUGGUAAACUCCAUCUAAGGCUAAAUAUGACCACGAGACCGAUAGCGAACAAGUACCGUGAGGGAAAGUUGAAAAGAACUUUGAAGAGAGAGUUCAAUAGUACGUGAAACCGUUCAGGGGUAAACCUGAGAAACCCGAAAGGUCGAAAGGGGAGAUUCAGCGUGACUCGAUAGCGGCGCUAAAUGAUCGUGCGACGAACGGCGUACGCGUCGUUCGCGCCUUUUGUUUAUGCGAACCGAAGUCGAACGCGUGCACUUCUCCCCCAGUAGGACGUCGCGAUCCUUUGGGUGUCGAUCUAAGGCCCGCGGUGGAGCCCGUUCGAACGGUUCGCCGUUUCGGACGAACCCGCGGUGUUUCCCGGUCGACUCGCUCGAAGGUAUGCAUAUGGCGCCGGGCCGCUACACAGUUAGCGUCCGACCAUUGGCAAGCGCGUUCGUUUAUGACGGUAAUCGCACCUGGUGUCGGUUCUGUCUACGAAUGGCUGUUCGCCAAUGAGUUCUCGGACAGACUCGGUUGAAACGCCGAUCUGCGACGCUAUAGCUUUGGGUACUUUCAGGACCCGUCUUGAAACACGGACCAAGGAGUCUAGCAUGUGCGCGAGUCAUUGGGACAUGACUAAACCUAAAGGCGCAAUGAAAGUGAAAGUUCGUCUUGCACGGACUAAGGGAAGAUGGGCGGCCGUUACGGCUGUCGCCCCGCACUCCCGGGGCGUCUCAUUCUCAUUGCGAGAAGAGGCGCACCAAGAGCGUACACGCUGGGACCCGAAAGAUGGUGAACUAUGCCUGGUCAGGACGAAGUCAGGGGAAACCCUGAUGGAGGUCCGUAGCGAUUCUGACGUGCAAAUCGAUCGUCGGAACUGGGUAUAGGGGCGAAAGACUAAUCGAACCAUCUAGUAGCUGGUUCCCUCCGAAGUUUCCCUCAGGAUAGCUGGCGCUCGUCGCUUACGAGUUUCAUCCGGUAAAGCGAAUGAUUAGAGGCAUUGGGGUCGAAACGGCCUCAACCUAUUCUCAAACUUUAAAUGGGUGAGAUCUCCGGCUUGCUCGAACUUUAUAUGAAGCCGCGAGACUCGAAUCAGAGUGCCAAGUGGGCCAUUUUUG
rnacentral:rRNA from 1 species